AUGGAUCCCGGCGAAGGCGGUUCCCCUGCCGCUCCAUCGACUUCCGGAGCAGCCCCAGGCGCGGCCGCGGAGAUUAAGGAGGACGCUGGAAAGCAGGUGGUGGUGAUUCUCAUCGGCCCUCCGGGCAGCGGCAAGUCCACGUUCGCCGAGGCCGUCAUGGCCGGUGCGGCCGCCGCCGGCCGCCCAUGGGCCCGCGUCUGCCAGGAUACAAUUGGAAAGGGCAAAGCUGGAACCAAAAUACAGUGUUUGAAGGCCGCAGCGGACGCUUUGAAGGAGGGAAAGAGCGUUCUCAUUGACCGAUGCAACUUGGAACGAGAGCAGCGCUCUGAUUUUGUGAAGCUUGGCUGCAUCGUACAAGCGGAUGUGCAUGCUGUUUUCUUGGAUCUUCCUGCGAAGGUUUGCAUCUCACGCUCGGUUAGCCGGACUAGCCACGAAGGAAAUGUGCAGGGCGGAAUGGCUGCCAUGGUUGUGAACCGCAUGCUAAAGAACAAACAGGCACCCUUGCUGACUGAAGGUUUCAGUCGGAUCACGUUCUGUACGGAUGACGAUGACAUUAAGAAGGCAGUUGACAUGUAUAGUGCUUUAGGGCCUUCACAUAGUCUUGCUUCAGGAGUAUUUGGUCAGAAGAGCAAAGGGCCUGUACAAACUGGUAUAAUGAAAUUUCUCAAGAAGGCAGAUACUUCUAGCAUCAACAAGUCCAGUGGAACUAUGGUUACAUCAAGUGAAAGAAAGACAGGGCAACAAAAUACAACGUUGAAACAGGAGAACCUUGAAGCUGGUGGCGCCUGUUCAAUGCAAGUAGAAAAGAAGUUGGAUAACCUGAAGGAAAAAGAAGAACGAAGUAAGGAAAAGGUUUCUUCUGACACCAGUUUGUGCACUCUGGCAUUUCCAUCGAUUUCUACUGCUGACUUCCAGUUUGAUCUUGAGAAAGCAUCUGAGGUUAUAGUAGAUGCAGCUACUGAUUUCGUGCAGAAGCAUGAUAAUGUAAGACUAGUUCUUGUUGACUUGAGCCAAAAAUCAAGAAUAUUGUCAUUAGUCAAGGACAAGGCUGCUAAGAAGAGCUUUGACUCCAGCAGAUUUUUCACAUUUGUGGGAGACAUCACUCAGUUGCACUCCAAAGGAGGUCUUCAAUGCAACGUCAUUGCUAAUGCUGCCAACUGGAGGUUAAAACCUGGAGGUGGAGGGGUUAAUGCAGCUAUAUUUAAUGCUGCUGGAGAAGCUUUACAGCAUGCAACCAAGGAAUGUGCUGACACGUUGAGACCUGGUAACUCUAUUGCUGUUCCACUUCCAUCAACUUCCCCUCUGCAUCAACAGGAAGGGGUGACCCAUGUCAUACAUGUGCUCGGACCAAAUAUGAACCCAAUGCGUCCAGAUUGUCUGAAGAGUGACUAUACCAAAGGGUGUAAGGUUCUUCGUGAGGCAUAUAAUUCACUUUUUGAGAACUUUGCAUCCAUUGCCCGGAGCUACCCAGGGAAGCAGAAUGAUGAAACUUCAUCAAGGAAGUCAGCAUCUGGAGUGAUUUCACCUAAUGAUUCAAAAACGAAGCGAGAGGGCAGCGAUGAUUCUCGAAGGACCAAAAAGUGUAAGUUGCUUCCAUCUAUUUUGACUUCAAGUCAACACCAUGAGCGCAAAGGGACCAACACACUAAGUUAUCAUGAUAACUCCAUGGGUUCAUCUGAUGCUCCGAACCAAGCAAGAGAGGAAGACAACAAGAAGAAUGGUGCCGUCACCAACAAGACUUGGGGAUCCUGGGCACAGUCCCUUUAUGAGGUUGCCAUGCACCCAGAAAAAUAUAAGAACGCGGAUUCUAUCCUUGAGAUAUCUGAUGAAUUUGUUGUUCUGAAGGACCUCUAUCCCAAGGCCAAAAGGCAUGUGUUGGUGAUAUCUAGGACAGAUGGUCUUGAUUCUCUAGCAGAUGUCAAGAAAGUGCACUUACCACUGCUUAGGAGUUUGCAUUCAGCUGGGCUGAAGUGGGCACAUAAGUUCCUAGAGGAAGACGCAUCUCUGACGUUCAGGCUUGGAUAUCAUUCGGUUCCGUCCAUGCGGCAGUUGCACCUCCAUGUCAUAAGCCAGGAUUUCAACUCACCCAGCUUGAAAAACAAGAAGCACUGGAACUCCUUCACCAGUGCAUUUUUCCUUGAUUCUGUCGAUGUCAUGGACGAGGUUGACCAGCAUGGAUCCGUGACUAUCAGCCCUGACGAGAAGCUUCUCGCAAUGGAGCUAAGGUGCCACAGAUGCAGGAGCGCCCACCCGAAUAUUCCGAAGCUCAAAACCCACAUCGCGGCCUGCAAGUCCCCCUUCCCCUCCCAUUUUCUGAAGAAAGACAAGCUGUUGUCAGCUUCCACGGUGCGUACGGGCUGCAGUUAG
rnacentral:rRNA from 1 species